GUACCUGCAAAUUCAGGUGCCGGGAUUGGUCUCCCGAAUAUCAUACCUGCGACAUAUGACGCGUUAGCGUCUUUUUU
rfam:Klebsiella pneumoniae ISC21, WGS project CBWQ01000000 data, contig: c520